ACUUCUGACUUAUCUCUUGAUAUAGUCAUUUUAUGCAUAAUAGUUUAUUUCUAGUGAUAAUGAUUAUGUUUGCAUCUGUUUUGAUAUGUCACUAUCUGGUUCCUGUUGUCUGCCUAUAUUCCUAUCUGUUAUGCUUUCCUACUUAGAUUUUCUUUGAUUACCGCCAUGUGUAUCCCUGUUCAUAGAAAUAGUGACUUACAUUGCCUACUGUGUAGUAGUCUUGUUGUUCGUCAUAUCUGAUUUGUGUACUUAGGUUGUUGAUACCUAGACCAUCGUAUGAUUUAUUUCCUUUUAGUGCAUUUUAUAUGGAGGGUAUACGGUCUGUAUCUACAUGUUUAGUGUCAUGCACCAUCUUGCAUGAUUGCAUGCUGACGAUGGUCAACUCCAUUAUUGUUGAGCACAUCACCAGUUACAUGAUUUGCACACACAAUCACUCAUGAGUUAGUGGUACAUCAGGCAGGGUGUGUGCAGCUUGCUCUGUCAGGGCUCCGCUAGUCCGCUCCUGGGUAGCGAUGACUGCAGCGUGUAGCGGGCAGGGAUCCCUCCCCUUGACUAUGAUAUAGGGAGAUGAGAGCAUUUAGCUCCCCCACUCUGUUGGGGUAGGAGGAUAGGUGUACUUCGACAGCAUCUUGUCCACUCGAUCAUUCAGGAACAGUGAUGGCAGAGUGCAUAGUUGUCAUAGCCCUACCCACUCGGUCUCACCAUCGCUUGUGAGAUGGUUGACUGGCGUCAGGGGUGACACAUGUCAUUUUUGCACCAUAUGCAUAGAUUGCAUUUAUUGUUUGUGAUUCUUGUAUUUUGGAUGCUGAAUUUGUUUGGGUUGCAUAUGUUCGACAUGCAUACAGGUGACAUUUUGUAUUUGGUCUGACGACCCUUAUAUUCAGAUAGGAGGUCCUGGUUGAAGCCGUAAGGAGGUUCCAGCUGCUAGUCCCCUUGCCACAAGGAUUUUCGCUUUGGUCUUUUGGUUUCUGUUUAUUUGUUUAGAGCUAUGUUUCAGACUUGUUCUGGUUUUAGUACUUUGGAUUUUGUGUGGCUUGUCUUUGAGUAAUGUACUAGUUGAGUUUUGUUUUCUUAGUGGAUUGUAUUUGGUAUGUUUUGCUACGCGCCUGUCGGACGGGCACGAGAGGUAAGUUUAGAUGAUAUUUUCA